rnacentral:misc_RNA from 1 species
GCCCAAGGUCCUGCCUUUCUCCCUCACGCCCCUUCACCAAGUCAAGAUACUUGAAUUCUUGAUAGUGGAGAGAAGAAAUUAAUUAACAUGGCAACAAUUGGAUCACCUCCAGCAACGUACUCACCCUUUAUCCACCCAAGUCUUCUCCCACCCACCAAGAUUCAAUUCCCUAACCGUAAUAAUACCUCGCCCAGGACUCCAUUCUCUGCAGUUGCACCAUCUCGCUUUAUUAGAAUCUCUAGGGUUCAUAUUCGAAUAACCUUGGAAACAAUUCAAGAAGAAGAAAAUGAAGAAGAAUGCAUGGAGAUGGAUCAGAGUUUUUCUUCAUCAAUCUUUUCAACUUGUUUCCUUGAAGGCCAAAAGCCUUUGCCAUCUUAUUGUCAUAACUGGGGGUGUGCUUAGUUAGCUAGCUAGGGAGAGCCACUCCACGCAUGCAUGUAUAUUCUCCUAAUCUUUAUGCUUAUGGAUUUAUAAUUUAGGUAACUCUGCCUUAUCAAGUAAAUUAUGUUGAAUUAUUUUAGGUGUAUUAGUGGUUAGUUACUUAAGUUUGUAGGGUAAUUUUAUUCUUAGUUGUUCCAAAAAAAUGAUGAUUUGGUUAUAAGGCAGACCCUUAUAGAUAAUAUUUGCGUUGUCCCAUGUCGAUUUGGGAUAAAGUAUUUAUGCUAAAUAUGAUAUUUGGACAA